GGGAAUUCAAGUUGGAAAAACCUACUGGAACAGGAUCUUCCUGCAAGGGUGGCCAUGGGUGACCCUGUCUGUCCUGGGAUUCCUGUACUGCUAUUCACACGUGGGCAUUGCCUGGGCUCAGACAUACACAGUUCUUUAACUGUGUGGCUGCUGGGCCAGGACAGCCUCCAAGGGACAUAGCAUUUCAUCCCGACCUCUCACUCUGAGACCAUCCCCAAAAGACUACCUUCUACUCCAGGACCAUCUCCAAGGAACCACCCUACACUGAGACCAUCCCUGAAGAACCACCUUCCAAUCUCCAGUCCCUAAGGGACCAUCUUAUACUCCAAGGCAAUCCCUGAGAAACCAACUUCUACUCCCGGUGCAAUCUCUGAGGGACCACCUUUCACUCCAGGACAGUCCCUGAGGGACUGCCUUCCACUCAUCUUCUGCUGACGAUACUUCAUUCCAAGACUGGCAGCUUGGUCUAUCAUAGUACAUAUACAACCCCAAAAUCUUCUAGCUUUGGAGCCUCAAAGUGUUUUUUUUUUUAAUAACCCCAUAAGCUUCCUGAUGCAUAAGUUACAGCCCAGAGCAGUCUCAGGUCUUUCCCACGAUACCUGUGACAUUUGUUUUAGAACCUCCCUUAGACAUGUUUGGGUUGUUUUUUCCUUCUCUACCAAAGAUUCAGUAUGGCAGACAUGUGUUUU
rnacentral:lncRNA from 1 species